AAAUCUCUCCCCAUUUGUUCGAGCGUCCACGAUACCCACCGAGAGGUUGUCCUGCCGGUUUUCCUGCUGGUUGUCCUUACUAUUUAUGCAUCUCCCAGUCGAGUGUCGAGGAAGCAUCUCUGAAGCCCUAAGCGCUUGAAUUUCAGCUUCAAUCGAGAAUUUUCCAUUGAAUCAUUCCUAGGUAAUACAGUAGGCGGCAAGUUUUCAGUUUUUCAUUCAAUUUAUCUACUUUUUCGCGUUGAGGUGUCAUUGUUUUGACAGAAAGCUUCUGUUAGAAAUAGUAAGUACUUAGUUUUGAAGUUUUAA